rnacentral:rRNA from 1 species
UGGGGAAUAUUGCACAAUGGGCGCAAGCCUGAUGCAGCCAUGCCGCGUGUAUGAAGAAGGCCUUCGGGUUGUAAAGUACUUUCAGCGGGGAGGAAGGUGUUGUGGUUAAUAACCUCAGCAAUUGACGUUACCCGCAGAAGAAGCACCGGCUAACUCCGUGCCAGCAGCCGCGGCAAUACGGAGGGGGCAAGCGUUAAUCGGAAUUACUGGGCGUAAAGCGCACGCAGGCGGUCUGUCAAGUCGGAUGUGAAAUCCCCGGGCUCAACCUGGGAACUGCAUCCGAAACUGGCAGGCUUGAGUCUUGUAGAGGGGGGUAGAAUUCCAGGUGUAGCGGUGAAAUGCGUAGAGAUCUGGAGGAAUACCGGUGGCGAAGGCGGCCCCCUGGACAAAGACUGACGCUCAGGUGCGAAAGCGUGGGGAGCAAACA